AACAAGGCGUACCUGCGGACCUGCGGAAGGAUCAUUACGAGAGUGUCACCACUCCCAACCCAUUGUUUACCUACCCGUCCACCGUGCUUCGGCAGGCAGCCCUGUGGGACAGAGCCUCGCCCCCCUCCGCGGGGGGGUGCCUGCCGCUGGCCAACCAACAACUCUAGCUGUUUUAGUACCAUCUGAGUCUUCCACAAAUGAACAAAACUUUCAACAACGGAUCUCAGAUCGGAAGAGCAC
rnacentral:misc_RNA from 1 species